ACAAGGAGAAAAGGGGUAUAUCAAUAUUAUAGAUUAAUGAUAAGGUUGGUAAUGUAGGGCUCCAACUAAUGAUCUGAUGAUUCAAUUCUAUAUUAAUCAAUUAGUUGUUUGGUCUAUAAAUGUCCAAAGAAAAAUGGCCAUCACAAUUUCCCAGUAUCCAAAGUGACAUCAUCAGAUUGUUUGUUUUUAACCCUUACUCUAACCCAAAAGAUAUUUCAUUUACUAUCAAAUAUGACAAACAAAAGUAGCAAAUCUUCACAUUUGAGAAGCUGGAAGGGGAGAACAUUUUGCAGUUUUGCUUGAAAAAUGCCUGAAACGUGUCCGAAUUCGUUUGGUCUUUAAUUACAGAUGUUACAGUUUUAGUUAGUUUGAUAUUUUGGCUAACUUUAAGAAUAAGAAUACAUGGAAAGUGUUGCAUUUAGUGAGCAUGGAAUCCAUAAUAUGGACUGGAAAUAUUUAAUUCAUUCGUUAAAACUACUACUGAAAGAUAAACUAUGCAGGAUUUUCCUUAAAAAACAAACAAAAAAAAUAAUGUAUAGAAUCGUACAAAUGUAAUCCCUCUUAAUCAUCACUUAUGACCUGCUAGAAGUGUGUGGCGGUUUGUGUUUUCUUAUACUUCUAAAGACCCUUUCCCACUGCACCAAAAAAAAAAACUAACAUUACUCGGACAUGCCGAUCCUUGGCGUCGCGAACUGGCUCUUGGGACAUGGAAUGUCACCUUUCUGGCAGGGAAGGAGCCAAAGCUGGUGUCCCUGGCACCGAGUACCUGGCUGAGUGCCAUGGAGAUGUAAUUUACUAUCAAAUACCAGGUGUAAGGAAAAUGCUCAACUUCAGCAAACACUGAAAUGAAGAGACUCGGAGAACCACGGAGAAAAGUUACAGCUAACGGGAUUACUUUAAUUGCAAAAUACAACUCAGUAGAAUACAGGUUGUAGAUCACAGCAGAAAACAGCCCCGCUUAUCCAACUUCCAAAUGUUUUUAUACUAUUUGAGUGAGGGGGCGUCUGUUCGUUUGUGUGCAUGUGUGUGUGUGUGUGCGUGUGUGUGUGUGCAGACAGGUCUGGGCUUAUGACCUAAUUGUCCCAAUAGGUUUGAUUUCUUAGGAAACCUAAGUGUUUUCUGUCCCGUUUGAUUUCCAAGAACUUGAUUGCGCAAAAACUACUCAAUUUACCAAAACAACUCCUUUAAUGGAAUUUCCUCGGUCUUCCAAAGUUCACCAACUCAAAAACAACUUCUCAUAAGGAUUCUUUCCUAUUGCGAAAUCUGACAUCUGGUCCACUGUUUCAAAUACCAGGUAGCUAACACCCACUUUCGCUAUCAAAUACCAGGUUUGCUAACACCCACUUUCGCUAUCAAACACCAGGUUUGCUAACACCCUCUCUUACAACCAAAUACCAGGUGGCUGACACGCAUUUUUACUAUCAAAUACCAGGUAGCUGUGACCCACUUUUACUAUCAAAUACCAGGUAGCUUACACCCACCUUUACUAUCAAACACCAGGUAGCUGAUACCCUCUCUUACUAUCAAAUACCAGUUAGCUGACACACAUUUUUACUAUCAAAUACAAGGCAGCUGACACCCACUUUUACUGUCAAAUACCAGUUAGCUGACACCCACUUUUACUGUCAAAUGCCAGGUAGCUAAAACCCAUUUUACUAUCAAAUGCCAGGUAGCUGAUACCUACUUUUACUGUCAAAUGCCAGGUAGCUAAAACCCAUUUUACUAUCAAAUGCCAGGUAGCUGACACCCACUUUUACUGUCAAAUGCCAGGUAGUUGACACCUACCUUUACUAUCAAAUCCCAGGAAGCAGAAACACACUUUUACUAUCAAAUACCAGGUAGCUAAAACCCAUUUUUACUAUCAAAUACCAGGUAGCUGACACCCACUUUUACUGUCAAAUACCAGGUAGCUGUGACCCAUUUUUACUAUCAAACACCAGGUAGCUGACACCCACUUUUACUAUCAAAUAUGAGGUAGCUGACACCCACUUUUACUAUCAAAUGCCAGGUAGCUGACACCCAUUUUUACUAUCAAAUACCAGGUAGCUAACACCCACUUUUACUAUAAAAUACCAGGUAGCUGACACCCACUUUUACUAUUCAAUACCAGGUAGCUGACACCCACUUUCACUAUAAAAUACCAGGUAGCUGACACCCACUUUUACUAUUCAAUACCAGGUAGCUGACACCCACUUUUACUAUCAAAUACAAGGUAGCUGACACCCACUUUUACUAUCAAAUUCCAGGUAGCUAAAACCCAUUUUUACUAUCAAAUGCCAGGUAGCUAAAACCCAUUUUUACUAUCAAAUACGACGUAGCUGACACUUACUUUUACUAUCAAAUUUCAGGUAGCUAAAACCCAUUUUUACUAUCAAACACUAGCACCAGCAUUUUUAUUUCUUCUUCCUUUCUCCCGCCUCCUUCUCACCUUCACCUUCAAACAGAGAAAGGUAAUCCCUGCCACCCAUUUUUGUUCUGAUGUAUAAUUGCAUACAUAUUUGCAUUCUAGUUUUGUGUAACCUUGCAUUAAAACAUAUUCAGAGAUCAUGAACAUGUCAGUGUCCCAUACCGGUGCCUAAUAAGAUUGUUGGCAUUUAAUCUUAGCAGAUCAAAUAAAGUUAUAUUUUUGGAAAUGCAAUAAUAUUACCAGUUACCUAAUAAUACUGCACUGAAUCAGCAUUCAACAGUCGCAUUUAUGGUGUAAGAGUGGCGUUAUGUGUCAUUAUGUGUCAUUUAACUCCCACCACUUCCUGUGACGUUUCAAAGGAAUCAGCAUUUUCACAUGACUGUUGAGGCAGUGAGGCAAAUCACGCACAGCUCAGUUUGAACAAGGCAAACACAGUACAGUACAUACUAAUUACUCAGCAUAAUAAAAACCUGCUGCGACACAGACAUGCCUUGGAGCAUUUAUUAAGACACGCACGGAAAUGAAUUUUUAUAUCCUGAACUGCACCUGUAGAGUUUAGUUCUUGGUGUAAAAAAGCAUUUUUAGAUUUUUCUACAAAAUGCAGUAUGUGUGGAGAUAUGCUGUGUACAGUUCACCUUUUUCAUUUUCAGGUUAAUACACUAAUUGUCACCCUUACACUUAUAUGUUGGUUAUUAUGCAAAAAUAAAUCAUACAACUUAAUUUUAUCUUCUGUUUCUCUCCUGACUCUUUUGGCUUGAGUGCCACAAUCCUCAUUUUCUUUUUUCUGUGCGCUCAACGGCUUCUUGCAAAUAGUUUUGAAUAUACAGUACGUGUGACAUAAUUAUAUGCAUGACACAAUAAUAAAACUCCAUUCAUAAAUCAAUUCAUUCUUAUACCUGUGACACAUUCCUGACAUAUAUAGCCGCAGCGAACAGGAGUCCAACUUCAGAAAAUCUUGGUUGAGCAACAGCAUUGUUUUAUUCAAAACUAACUUACCUCUGCCUCAGUGACUGGGUCAUAAAAACCAAACAAGCCAGCUUGUGAGUUUACUCAUUUACUUUAUCAGUAACUUUUUCCCCAGGGAAGCUUGAGCCUUGGCAGCAGAAGUAAUGUCACUCUUCUGUUUUUCCUCAUUUAAAGCCUUUUAAUGGUUUCCCACCUAAGAACAGUAUUUUGUAGGUUACACUCGUCUUUCCAGUUUCUCUUCUGAUUUAGACUGUGACAAAGAUAAACAAAAGUGUGAUAACAGCGAAAGGGGUAAUGUGAAUUUUGUCUGCAUCUGUGAUCAGACCUGUAAAUGAUCCUCAGGUCAAAGGACACUGAGCACAAGAGAAUACUAUACCUCUUUAUCAAUAAAUGGUAAAUUAAUAGUUAAUUAAACUUUAUCUAACAAUUGUUUUAUUGUUGACAAACAAUGAAAUAAUCACCUAUGUUUGGUAAUCAUUAGUAAUGCUUUAAUUUAUGUUAUUUUAACAUUUUAGCAUGACAUUUUAUCUACUAUAUUAAGUAUUUGUUAAGUAUUUUUUAAUGGUUAUUAACUGGUUUGUAAACUGUCUAUAAACAUUAUUUGGAUGGACGUUAUAAAGUUGCAACGGACGAUUAUAUUACAUUGUUAAAAGGUUGAUAAAUAGUGUGCAGUGUAUCUAAAAACAUUAUUUUGGUGGUCAUUAUAAAGUUGCAAUGUUUUUAGAAUGCACUAAAAAGUAUUUAUCAACCAUUUUAAGGUUCAGUGUGUAGGAUUUCGAGUCCACCAUCCUGUUUCUACAGUAGCCCAGAACAGACAAAUCAAACACUUUGAUUGCGUUUUUGUGUUUUCGCAUUGGCCACCAUAGUUCUCCUACACACUUGGCACAUGAGACAAGUUUCAGUUCUGUAACCCUACUGCGUGAUGCCACUAAAUCCUACACACUGGACCUUUAAGUGGUUAACAGAUACUAUGCAGUGCAUCUAUAUAAUAUCUAAUGAUAAGGCGGUCACUAUAAAGUUUCAGUGUUUACAGAAUACACUACACAAUAGUUAUUAACCAUUCAUUCUCGGAACCCAUCGGCUGUAUUCGGUGUCUGACUUCCAGCAGACGGUGAUACAGCCUCUGGGGGCAGACCCCCGAUUUUUUGGUAUUCCGGUUUGAGGAGGCGAAUUUCCGUUUCCGACUUCCGUUUAUAUAUAUGUAAAUAUGCUGAACCAUUGCGAUGGAUUCAGAGUUUGCAGUGACGCCAAUUAUGUUCCGCCUCGUUAGUUCACCACACGGAGCGUUUAACCUGACAACAACUGCAGCCGGCUCAAACAAUCAGUGUACUUUGAAGCUUGAUACUCUGGUUACAAUGGGUCAGUUCAGAAACUUAGUCAAAAACCUGACUGAUUUUAACUGUUACUGUUUUUAACUCGUUUUAACUGACUCAUUAUAUGUAUAUAUUCAUAUUGUGCUAUAUUGUACUUUUAAAAUCAGUUGUUUCAUGUCGUUAUUUAUGUACUCAGGUCUCUCUAGAAGACUUACCUGAUUAAAUAAAGGUUGUUAUUUAUUCUCAUCUGUGAAAGGUGUAAAUGUGUGGUGAGAAUAUUUUCCUAUAGUAUUCUACAGCAAUAAUAAUUAAAAAUAUAUUUUACAUUGUGUGCAUAUGCUGUAGUCUGAAUCAGUUUUCUGACGCAGCAGUGGCCUACUACUUCCUCUUUAAUCAAUUGCAUCAUCUGUUCUGAGUAACCAAACACCCACCCUUGACGUCCUCUGGCCAGUUGUUACAAACCCCUCCUCUUUCAUGCGAGUGCCUUAAUAAGCUGGACUGGAAAAUCAAGAAGUGACAAAGAGCAUUACGUCUUCUUCAUGUUCAGCAUCUAACAGCAGCGAGUGUAGCCCAUCCUUGUCUAUGCUGAACUUCCUUUGUGAAAUAAGCUGAUUGUUUAAAUAAGGAUAUAUGACUCCGUGUGCUGACAAAUAGGUAUUAACGUGUGACAUUUACAUUACUUGCAUCAGCGCCCCUUUGUCACACAACACAGUCGAGAUCUGCAUCCUGUAACAUUUGUCUUGUAAACAGGGACAGUGCACACUGACCGAGGCCUGUGUGAGAUACAACAUGUUUAGGUCAUGUCA